UACGGCCGCAUCACAUCGAAACACCGUUUCCCGUAAGAUCACCGAAGUUAAGCAACGUCGUGCUUUGUUUAGUCCCUAGAUGGGUGACUACUUGGGAAUACCAGGUGCUAUAA